GGUAGAGAAAACCGUCGCGCAAAAAAAGCAUGUUCGCAGCACCACCCGCGAGGGCUCCAGGCAUAACCGCACCGCACGACUCCCCUGUUUCCGUUCCUCCUCAUCUUCCCAUCUCAAUCGUCAAAAUCCAGAGCUGCCUGGAUCCUCCACUGAAUUCGCCACUUCCAAGCCUCCCACACUCGAUUCUUGCUGCCGAUACGCUGGGAUCGAGAUCCUCGCCUUCCUCGAUGAAAGGCGGCAGGCCAGCCAGGAGCCACAACGUCGGCGACGUGGCCGUCGCCACACAACCCAAGAUCAAGGGGAAUGAUGGUAGAGUGGGCGGCGCCGACAUCGGCGCUCCACCAGCGGAUCGUCGAGGAGUCUAGGCAGAGGGAGAAGAAGGGAUCGUGAUUCGGCCCAUCCCCUUCUUCGCCGUCGAUAGGCCUCCUCGCGGAGAUUACUUCAUCGCCAUCAACAGCCUCCUCACCGAGAUGCAGGAGGUGGAGCGCAUCAGGGGAGCGCUCAACAGCUUCCUCGAAAAGAUUGCCGAGGAGGACGAGCCCACAGCAUAGGAUGAGGUGGAGGUCGUGGCGUACGUCAGCGAGGAGCGUGCCAGGAUGCCGAGGCACUAGCCGGCGCAACGCUCUGGGAUUGGCAGAUUGGUGAGCAUCGAGCAGAAGCAGCCCAGCAUCGCGAAGCAGAGGUGAAGUAAGCCGGCCCAGCCUAGGUGAGGUGAUUGCUUGCUGCAGUUCAGCACUUGCCUCAGGCUUGUCUGUGUCUGCUCAUAUCGUUUCAGUUCUUUGAUAUCUCUUCUACUGCUCCAUUUUGGUAUGUAGGGCAAAGCAUGAACGAACUUGCACUUAAAUUGUUUGUUUAGUGUCCUAACAUAACAUUAUAUGUUUCGUGUUCCUCAUUGUUUGGUAUUCUAGGUAGACCUUUAGCCUUUUCCUUUUCAUCUUUUGCCCUAUUUGUUCAUGUGGCUGAUUUGAUCGAUUGUCAUCGUGUGAGCGAUCCUCCUCCUUUAAUUUUUGGGGUUGAUAUGAUAUGGUUUUUGUUGUAGCUAAGUGUUCCUUACUCAUUUCUUAUAUGGAUACGACCAAUUAUGUGUUACGGCUUGACAAAAUGAAAUGACAUAUUAUAUAGUUGGCGACUUGGUGAGGUUCUGUUUACUUCUCAUUCUUAUCCAUUUCAGCAUUCACUUAAUGGUAUAUUUCUUGAUCGGAUCUGAAGUAUAACUCCUGUCCAAGUAUGUUUGGUCUGUAGUAUUAAGAAUUCAAAAUAUUCUAUGCUGGAUACGCAAGCAUCGCAGAACUAUUUCUACUUUAACAUUGUCGAUUGGUCUUCACAUAAUGAUCUCGCAGUUGGAUUGACGAAUACCAUCUACUUCUGGAAUUCAUGCAUCAGCAAGAUUACCAAGCUCUGCGAUUUGGGAGUGGAGGACAUUGUUUGUUCAGUGUGUUAGGCGCAGCUUGGCACUCACCUAGCUGUAGGGACUAACCAAGGCAAAGUUCAGGUUACGUCUUGCACCUAUGUGGAAUGAAUAAAUGACGUGUUCAUUAUCCAUCAUAGUUUCGGAUGAUCCUUCAACCCCUAUUUAUGGAAUUAUAAAUUAAUUGGCAAUAUAAAUUAGGUUGUCCAAUUGCUAAUGAUCUGCAUGUUUGUGCUGUCUGUUAGAUGUUUGUACUAGCAAUUUUGAGAGAUGGUUGGAACACUUGUAGGAUGAUUAUGAUGCAGAGGAUGAUGAGUACACAGAGAAGCUAAAGAAGGAAACACUUGUACUGUUAGCAACGUGAGCUCUCACCUUUUUUAUUUUUAGUUUGCUGAAUUGAUGAAGUGAGCCCUUGUCAUUCUGAUUUGUGGGUUGCUGAAUUUUCCACGAGAGUUCUAGCCAUUUUGAUUCGUUUAUUUCUGAAUUUCCAGGGCGAGCUCUCACUGUUAUGGUUUGUAGUUUGCUAAUAUUGGCCCCUUAAGACAUCAUAAGCCUACUGCAUGGGGAGUAUCUAUGUGCUUUUAACCCACGGGUGCCAAUUACGAUCGGCAAAGUCAUUAAUUGGAAUUGUCCACCACAAUUUUCAGUAGAGAAUCUUCUUAUUUGUGUGUAAAUUACACUGAACAAUGCAAUGUUGUCAAAUGGAUUAUUGUUCUGUGUAAAAGAAUCUAACCAACUUCAGUAAAACAUUUGUUUUCUGCUAGGUAUACAUAUGCAGCUAGGUAGUUAGAUUCUUUUUAUAUCACUUGUUAGGCUAAUUAUAUUUGAUGACCACAUAUAUGGCGAUGGGAACGCAAUCAUGAUGCUGCAAGAUUCAAAAAAUGAUUCAUUGAGGUUGUAAAAUUUGUGGGGUUAAGAUUGCUCACUAGCACUACAACAUCGUAUGCAGGCAGCUUUAUUUUUGCACUGGAGCAGGGCAAGGAGCAGGAGGUUUGCCUUAAAGAUUUAUGUUGUAAUUAUGCAUUGGGAAUAGUCAAUACAGACAUUUUAAUAAGGUUGCAAAGGUGGUGGCUGAGUUACUGUUGGAGUACGAUUUCUGGUGGAUUUCAUAUCUAGCCUAUCGCAACUUGGUUUGGACAAAGGAUUUUAUGGUGAUGAUGAAUUACUUCAUUUUACAAUUUGAUGAUGCGAGAGCGCAGCCAACGAACCGGUGUAGACUAGAGAGGCGAACUAAGAGGUAGAAGGUAGUGAUAGACCAAGGUACACCGUAAACAAGACUUGCCCGCUUAUGCUUGUUGUAUCUUAUUGAAAGACGGUUGUAUUAACCCAUUUAUUAAAGUUUGGGUAGUGGCAAUACAACAGUAAUAAAAUAUAUUUUCCGUUGCAACGCACGGGUAUUUAACUAGUAAUUCCUAAUGUAGCAAACCAA